AGAGGUCUUCAGCAUCCACUGAGGGCUGAGAGGUGGUGGCUAGACCCGGGGCUUUGGGGGGACCCAACUGGCCUGAGGGGAGUCCAAGGGACCCCGGGCAGAGCCAGGCAGCUGUCAGUGCGUUAUCUGGGUUCUGGGAGGAUCCCUCGGACUGACGGACCUCCCUGAGCCUUGUGGUGGCGGCGACGGCGGGUGGCCUCACCGGUGGGAGACAGCUUUCCGCAGGAAUUUGCAUAAGGCUGUUUGGAGACGUUCUCAGCAAGCAUGAGCAUGUUGAACCCACAGGGUGCUGAGGUCUGGGGAGGGAGCCUCCCAGGGCCCGGCACAGGGCCACGGGGGUACGGGUCUUAUGUGCCUUCUGCUCAUUCACCUCCUAUGGCUCCCCACUGCCCGGGGAUGGAAUCCAGAGACCGUCAUUCCGCGUGCUGCCAGACCAUCCGGCUCCACUACCCCAGGAAGAAGAAGGCAGCUGGCAGAGAGAUCCUGGAGGCUUCGUUUGGGGCUCUAGGUCCAGCCAUGCCUGAAGGCAGCCCUGCCGUUGAGCACUCAGCGUUCCGGCGCGCCUGGCCGGAGGCUGGCACUGUUUCUGGGCACCUGGACAGCCUCACUUGGCCCUGAGACAAGCACUCACUGAGUGGCGGCUGGCGGGCUCCGGGCGUCGGCAGUGGCGUGGCCCUUCUCUCCUGUGGCUGCUCCAGAGCUGGGGAAGAAAGGGCCUCGGAGCUCCCGUGGCCUCCCGGGGCACCCUUGGGCAGCCGACAGGUGAGGGUAUGGCCAAGAGGGAGGUUCUGUUAGGGUCAACUCGGAGACUCCAUCCUGUGGCACCUCAGAUGUGGGAUGCCCCAGUGCCAUGUCUCAGCCUCCCUGGGGUCCUGUGGCUUCCUACGGCUCUGUGUUUUCAUUGAAUGGUAGCCACGUCACCCUAGGUCUGUGGCUUCGCACCACCAUGGCCCCGUGGCUCGAGGGUCCCCACGAUCCUACGGCUUUAGCAGACUGUGGUCCCACGGCCCCAUCAACCCAUGCUGUUAUGACUUCGUCCCUCCUUAGUUCUGUGUUUCCUUGUUCUGAGGUCCAUGACUCUUGGAUUAUUUGCAACUUCAUGGCUCUAGGAAAAGGUGAGUUAUUCAACCCAGUGGGAAAUAGACUCAGGAAGCCUCAAGGGGUGGGUGUUCCAGUGACCCCCCCCCCCGCACUUAGCACCAUGUGGACCAACAGCAACACUGACAUCACCCCUUUUCCAGAGGGCUCCAUGUGCUUGUCACCGUUCUACAACUCCCGCUCAGAGUAUGCUGACGGUUGCUAUGGUCUGGCCGUUCCUGGAGGGUUUUAUUAAACCUCAGUCUCCCUCUGUGGCGCAGGAAUAUGGACACGCAGAGAGCCUGGUCUGGCCUAAAGGAGUGACCUUUAAGUCAGGGUAAGUAGGGGUCAGCCAGGUAAAGGAAGAGUGCUCCAGGCAGAAGGCACAGCCUAUGCAAAGGUCCUGAGGUGGGGAAAAGCCUAAAAGUAAGAGGCACAGGGAGGCAGCCAGUGAGCCUGGGCUGAAGGCUAACUGUUCACCUCCCCUUCGUCUCAUGUAAGGCAAAGGAGGCAGAGAAUGGACAAAAAGCUCCUAUUGUGUGCUUCAAUUUCAUUCUCUCAUUGACUCAGAGUGAUCUCUGAAUGGGGUGGCCACAGAGCCAGAGAGGUUCCCGGGGGUCCAGCCCGCCAGCCACCCACCGACCCACCCACCUAUCCACUCACUCCUCCAUGCAUCUGCCCACCCAUCUGUCUGGCAAUCUAUCCAUCCACCCAGUCAUUCCAUCCAUCCAUCCAUCCAUCUACUCAUCUACCCGCCCAUCCACGCAUCAUCCUUCCUAUCUGUCCACCCAUCCAUCCAUCUAUCCAUCCUUCCAUCCAUCCACCUAUUCACCCAUGGACUGCAAACAUGGCUCAUGGCUCUGUCCCUGCGCAGGGACACCACACCCCUUCCUGUGUUCCAGCCCUCCUCCCCCUCCACUGCUCCCUCACCCCUCUGUUCCAGCCACACCUGCCUCCUCCGUGAACCUCCAGUGCAUCAGGCUCGUCCCACCUCUGGGCUUUUGCCUCUGCUGUGCCCUCUGCUGGGUGCCCCUCAUCAGCCGGAACCCAUUCAUCUGCCCCGGCCUUGGCACCAACAUCCCCCCACGGUGGCUUCCCUGACCCCUAGGCUCCGUUUCCUCUGGCCCAGCCGGUUCCUACUUCUGUGUGGCAAGCGCUCCGGGCCACUGUAUGCACUUGUCCAGCCUCAAGGCCGCCCACCUCGGGGCCGAGAAUCGGAGAGCACCUCCUCCCUGUUGGCUACGAGGCAAAGGGUCUGUGUGGUGGAUGAAAUCAUUUGCUUUCACCCCACUGAUCGAUAAUCAUUUAUUUGGCCCCCAUUGUGUGCCAGUCUUCCCACACUGGGGCUGGGGCUCCUCCCCUCCCAAUAACCUCCCUCCCCCACUGGCCCAUGCCCUGGUCUGGGCCUCUGCCUGCCAGGCAGCCAGUGAGUAAACACACCCCGCCCUCGGCCUCCUGCCCCAUCCAUCACUGACCUGAACAAGGGCCUCCUGUUAAUGAGCUGGGGGGGGGGGGGGCCAGAGAGGGACAGGAGGACGGAGAAUGAAGACUCGGGAUCAGGGGUCUGGUUCCUGUGCUCCCUGCUGCCCACCCACCCAUCGUCCCCAGACAGCUGCAGAACCCUGGGUGGGGGACCCUCUCCCUACAGCCUUCACGGGGAGGGGAGCGUGUGACUUCCUUCUCUGAGCAGCCAGUGCCCAAAUCGAGGCGACAGGACAAACCUGCCUCUCUGAGCCUCCGUUUGCCCAUCUGUAGAGUGGGGGCAUUAAUGACUGCCACCGUGGAAAAGUCUUCACUUUUUAUGGAGUAACUUACUCACUUCUGGUGACGACCCUAAGAUGUGGGGGGCUCUUGUCCCCCCAUCUCAUCUGGGUUUUUACUGCUCCUGUUAAGGUGUGCAAAACUUUAGGUAUUUCCAUUCGCCACUUCAUUAAACAGAGAGAGAGAGAGAAAGAACAAAACUUGUGUCGUUAGCCACACAGGCGGUCUCUCUCCCUGUAACACAGACACAGGUUUGUUUUACUAUUACCUACAAAACCCUCAUUAAAUGUCAGAGGAAAGGAGAGAAGGGCGGGGGGGGGGGUCAUUUGCCCCUUCCACAGCUAUCUCUGGAAACUUAUGAAAAUAAUGCCUGUAUAAUUUCAUUCUCUAAAAUCAAUACCCAUUGAAUGCCGCCAUUGGUAAAUUCCAGUAGGUUCUUAGUAACGCUCUUUCUCUCUUGUAGCAACUCUUCAGUACGCUGGCUGACCUUGAGACUUAAAAAUUUACAUUAUAAUAAGCGUUUGAAUGUGGCUCUUCUCCCUCUCCCCCCCCCCCGCCUCCCCCCAAAAAAAGAAAAGGAAAAAGAAGAAACUGAGGCGCAGGCAAGUUAAGCAACCUGCCUCAGGCCUCACAGCAGAGCUGGGGUAUGAAACUCACGGUCCCCAUGCCAGAGAACAGGACCUUCAUCACUGUGCCCUGCUGCCCCCUAUGGUGAUGAGUUCCUGCCUCCCGGGGCUGGGAAAGGGGGAGCAGAAAGGGGAACCCCACAAAAGUGGUAUGGCAAGGCUUUUGAACGUUUGGCACCUGCUCAAUAAAAUUGUAGCCACUAUAUUUAUUGUUCUCUCCUUUCUCUAUCGUCACCUUCCUGGGAACCUGGGAUGGUAUGGGGACAGGGUUGGGGCAGAUGGAAAGUGGGAGUGUAGGCAGGGCUUCUUGAAGUUCACAGUGCAAGUCAGGGUGGGUCUGCCCGACUCCAGUGCCUGGAUGUCCCCCUGGUGCCCAUUCCCGCGCCCCCAACUCCUUGGUCCUUCUGGAGAGAUGGGUCCAGUGGGGCUGUCCGAGGCAGGCUGGGUCAGGCUCCUCAGUUAUGGAUGUAGCAGUGGCCAAAUGGCUUCCCUCACUGCCCUGAUGAAUUCCCCAGACCCUGGGCCUGUGGCCGGGCCCGCCCAGGGCAGGGCAGCUGCCUUCCCGACAUAGUUUCCCUCUGGAUUCACGAGGAGAGGCGGCUGGGUGAGCUGGGGGCGCCCGCAUGUCUCCUGGCCCGGCAAACCCCUGCCAGGAAGGGCCCCGGGGCCCCAUCACACAGGCACCAGCCCCUCUGCCCCAGCCUGGCCAGGCUCCCGGAACCACUGGGUCUGGUGUGAUGGGAAGGGGAGCUGGCUGGGGCGCCAGCCAAAGAAAGGCUCGGGCCAGGAGGUCCUGGGCAGCAGAAUCUUCACAGCUAAUGAGGGGCCUGGGCCAGCAUUUCUCGUCUGGAUUCUGUGGCCAAGGGCAAUGAGGGGGGUGUGAAGGCCUUAGGGGUCCCGCCUUCCCCAGUUCUAAUUCCUGCUGUGUGACCUCGAGCUGUCUCGUCUCUUUUCUGCGGAAAAUGUGAAUAAGGACAAUUUGAGGUAUAAGUGACAGUGUGUAAGUUCCACAGUGUAUGGCAAGGCUAAUACCGCAGCCAGACGUCGGGCACCCGGUAGCUCAUUCAAUUCUCUCAACAACGAUCGCUCCCGUUUUCUAAGCGAGGCACAGAGGGAUCACGCAACUUGCCCGAAGUCACACAGCAAGGCUGUGCCCAGCCAACGUUUGAACCUAGACCAUGUGUCCCCCAAGUCUGUCCUAAAGUACAGUGGUGGCAGUUAUAACUAUUAUUAAUAGUAAUGAUGUUCCACUAAUAAGGAAUAAGAACAUGAUAUGCUAAUCCUAGUAGGUAACUUCACAGCUCACCAGCCCCUUCUCUCUCUGAACCGGGAGAUCCCCAGGCUGUGAGAAACAGAACAAAACACAGUCAAUCCCGGGGCGCCUGGGUGGCUCAGUCGGUUACGUGUCCAACUUCGGCUCAGGUCAUGAUCUCACGGUUCGGGAGUUCGAGCCCCACAUCGGGCUCUGUGCUGACAGCUCAGAGCCUGCUUCAGAUUCUGUG